UACCCUUACCCGACGCCCACAGUUUCAACUGUAACCCCCUCUACCUUGUUCAUUGCCAACCCAGCGCGCAAUUCACCACUAUCUGUUGCAUACACAGGAAUCUAUACAUACAAACUGGUUUCUUUAUCUCUCCACUCUCUCUAUACAUUCGAAGGGAAAGAGCCGGAGAAAACAGAGAUGGUGUCGACGAGGCGAAAUGGAUCUCAGCCGUCGAAUAAUAAUAACAAUAAUAUCAAGAACAAUAAAAAUAAUAAAUCAUCUUCCCCGUCGGAGUCUUCAUCACCGAAGCGUCAAAAGGGCGAGAGUAGUAAUUGUAUUGAUAACAAUUCAAAAGCGUCGGAGAAAUCAACUCCGCCGGUAGAGAAUCCCAAUGAUAACAGCUCCACCGAUCCAGCACUAGAACUUCCGGCCGCAGCCUCCGUCUCUGAUGCCACUCCCAUAGUUGCAGAAGGGACCACGCCGGCUAUAGUUGACAAGGCAAGGAGCUCGUCCACUUCCUGGAAACAGCAUCAAGGUCGCAAAACAACCUGGCUUUGGUACAGGCUUCUCAGUGAAUUCCCAAAGAACCCAACUGUUUCAUUUUGUACUACGAAUUUCUCUGUGGGGUCUAGCAAACGGGCCAAUCUUUCGAUCCCAGAUCAAACCAUUAGUGCAAUUUUGUGUUUCAUAAGGCUUACCCAGCGCGAGGGGAAAUCUGUUGCAGUUCUUGAAAGCCGGGGUAGCAAAGGAUGUGUGCAAGUAAAUGGAAAGAUGAUUAAGAAAAACACUACUUGUGAGCUCAAUUCAGGGGAUGAGGUGAUCUUUGGGUUUCUUGGGAAUCAUGCUUAUAUUUUCCAAGUACAGCCCGAUGACCAUGUAAUCAAGACACCUCCACCAGAUGUUCAGAGCUUAGGAAAGUUAAUUCAUUCCGAAAGACGAGCAGGAGAUGUGUCAGCUGUAGCUGGCGCUUCAAUUUUGGCAUCUCUUUCAAACUCGAGGCAAGAUGUAUCACGUCUGAAGCCUUCAUCUCAGGUUGUUACUAAAGUUUACCGAGAGAACGAGCUACCUCCUAUUGUCAAUGAAGAUGAUCUGGAUGGGCAAGAAAUCAAUUUGACUACAAAUUCAGGGAAUGAAGCUGCUAGCAAGGUCGUGGAAGAAAGAGACUGGGUUCAGUACUCAAUUCCGGCGUCUCGAGCUGGGAAGUCCUUGAGAAAAUCAGCACUUAGAGAAGACAUACUUGCAACAAUUCUUGAUGGACAAAGCCUCGAAGUUUCAUUCGAUAACUUCCCAUACUAUUUGAGCGAGAACACAAAAAAUGUGCUGAUUGCUGCUUCAUAUGUACACCUGAAGCGCAAGGGUCAAGUUAAAUGUAUUUCCGAGUUUCCAAAUCUGAACCCCAGAAUCUUACUUACUGGUCCAGCAGGAUCUGAUAUAUAUCAAGAGAUACUUGCAAAGGCGCUUGCUCAUCAUUUUGGGGCUAAAUUGCUUUUAUUUGACAGCCAUUCAUUUGUGGAUGGUUUAUCUGCCAAGGAAACUUACCUAUUAAGAGAGGGUUACAAUGUAGAAGAAGUCAGCAAUAAUACUAAGCAAGUUCCUCGUUCCUCAGAUUUGGCCAAGGGCAUGGAACUUUCAUCUGGUGAAACAAAUAUUCCGGAUUCUUCAAAUUUUCCUCUUGGCUCAGACUCCCAGACAAAAUUGGAAACUGACAAUUUACCCACUUUAUGGAAUGCAGCUAGGAAAUCCUCGGUUAAAUAUGGCGAUAGAGUUAAAUUCAUUGGUCCAGCUUCUGGAGGUUUGCAUUCAACUUCUGCCAGGGGCCCAAUUCCUGGAAUGCGAGGAAAGGUACUAUUACCAUUUGAAGACAAUUCCUCGUCAAAAAUUGGUGUGAGAUUCGAUAAAUCCAUGCCUGAUGGUGUUGAUUUAGGGGGUCUAUGUGAUAAUGGUCAUGGAUUCUUCUGCAAUGCCACUGAACUCUGCUUGGAUACCUCAGGGGUGGAGGAUCUAGACAAGUUACUCAUUGACACAAUGUUUGAGACUGUAUUUGAGGUGAGCAGAGAUUCCCCCUUCAUACUGUUCUUGAAAGAUGCUGAGAAAUCUGUGGCUGGAAAUUCCGGAUUAUGUGUAACAUUUAGAAACAAGCUGGAGAAGAUUCCUGAUAAUGUUGUCAUUAUUGGUUCUCACACUCAGAAUGACAAUCGUAAAGAAAAGUUACAUCCUAGCAGUUUGCUUUUCACCAAAUUUAGCAGCAAUCAUACAGCUUUAUUUGACUUGGCUUUCCCUGAUAGUUUGGGGAGAUUGCAUGACAAAGGAAAGGACGUUUCCAAGGCAACCAAAUUUCUAUCCAAACUUUUCCUCAAUAAAGUGACCAUUCACGCACCUCAGGAUGAAGCACUCCUAGUUAGUUGGAAGCAGCAAUUGGAACAAGAUGUUGAAACCCUAAAACUGAAAGCAAAUCUCAACAAUUUAAGAAAUGUCCUGAGUCUUCAUGAUAUGGAGUGUGAUGGACUUGAUACGUCGUGCAUUAAAGAUCAGACACUUACAAAUGAGAGUGCCGAAAAGGUAGUUGGAUGGGCUUUAUGUCAUCACUUGACAAGGAACCCUGAAGCUGAUGCAGAUGCAGAUGCAGACGCCAAGAUUGUUUUAUCUACUGAGAGUAUCCGGUAUGGGAUAGGAAUACUGCAAGCAAUCCAGAAUGAAUCCAAAAGUUUAAAGAAGUCUCUUAAGGAUGUUGUGACGGAGAACGAGUUCGAGAAAAGGCUUCUGGCAGAUGUUAUCGCUUCCAGUGAUAUUGGUGUGACAUUUGACGCUAUUGGAGCACUUGAAAAUGUCAAGGAUACAUUGAAGGAGCUGGUGAUGCUUCCUUUACAGAGGCCCGAACUUUUCUGCAAGGGUCAAUUGACCAAGCCCUGCAAGGGUAUACUUUUUUUUGGCCCUCCUGGAACAGGAAAGACCAUGCUUGCAAAGGCUGUUGCCACUGACGCUGGUGCUAACUUCAUCAACAUUUCUAUGUCGAGCAUUUCUUCAAAGUGGUUUGGUGAGGGAGAGAAGUAUGUGAAGGCUGUGUUCUCGCUUGCAAGCAAAAUUGCUCCUAGUAUUGUAUUUGUUGAUGAGGUUGAUAGCAUGCUUGGCCGGAGGGAAAGCCCAGGAGAGCAUGAAGCCAUGCGUAAAAUGAAAAAUGAAUUCAUGGUGAACUGGGAUGGACUGAGAACAAAAGAUACAGAACGGGUUUUGGUGCUUGCUGCCACAAACAGGCCAUUUGACCUUGAUGAGGCUGUAAUAAGACGGCUUCCGCGUAGAUUGAUGGUCAACUUGCCGGAUGCUGCUAAUAGAGCAAAGAUUUUGAAAGUGAUACUCGCAAAGGAGGACUUGUCUCCUAAUGUUGAUCUGAAUUCUGUUGCAAGUAUGACCAAUGGAUAUUCUGGAAGUGACCUAAAGAAUUUAUGCAUUACGGCUGCACAUCGUCCAAUUAGAGAACUUUUGAAAAGGGAAAAGAAGGAUCAAGCUGCUGCUCUUGAAGAAGGUAAACCUCUGCCAGCUUUGAUGGGGAGUGCUGAUAUUCGGCCAUUGAACAUAGAUGACUUCAGAUUUGCUCAUGAGCAAGUAUGUGCAAGUGUUUCAUCAGAGUCUAUAAACAUGACCGAGCUUCUUCAGUGGAAUGAACUAUAUGGCGACGGGGGCUCUCGACGGAAGAAAUCCCUUAGCUAUUUCAUGUAAAGAAGGACUUUGAGCAGCAUUUUUGGGGCUUAAUUUUGUUCUGCAGCGUCUGUUAAGGGGCUAAAUAAGUCAAAUCAGGCUGGGCUAUGCUGUUUUACUCCUCUAAUUCAAUCUCAUCAGGGCCACGAUAGUGUUCAACCUCCAAUGUGCCUUAGCGACGAAAAACAGCCCUGUUCUUCCCCUCUAUCUUCGUGUUUAACAUGUAUCCAAGUUUAGGCAACUUGUUUUGAUGUACGAACAUUUUUGGGUAGGUACCAAGAAAUUUUGUACUCGUAUCUUGUCGAAUAAAUAUGACUCCUUGAACCCCUUCCAUUGCAUUACAAGGUUACAAACAACAAUGUUAGAUGUAUAUUAAAAGUUUGGCAUUGUUGUUGACA